AAGCUGACCAGGAGGUUGAGGC
rnacentral:miRNA from 1 species